GAUCAUUAGUGAAUAAACUUGUGUGGGUUGUUGCUGGCCUCCUCGGAGGUAUGUGCACACCUGCCGUCGUUUCAUUCAAUCCACUCCCACCUGUGCACUCUCUGUAGGCCAAACCAUCAAUAUUUCAGGUCCUUCUGAAGGGCCUGGCGUGAGGAACUGCUCCGGCUUUCCUUGGAUGUGUAUGGUCUAUGUUUUUAUCAACACUGUAUGUAACCGAAUGUCUGUCUUGGGCUCUAUUAUGACCCAUAAAAACUUAUACAACUUUCAACAACGGAUCUCUUGGCUCUCGCAUCGAUGAAGAACGCAGCGAAAUGCGAUAAGUAAUGUGAAUUGCAGAAUUCAGUGAAUCAUCGAAUCUUUGAACGCACCUUGCGCUCCUUGGCAUUCCGAGGAGCAUGCCUGUUUGAGUGUCAUUAAAUUCUCAACCUCACUCCCUUGUGGUGUGAAGGUUGGACAUGGGAGCUGCUGGCCUUUGGGUCAGCUCUUCUGAAAUCCAUUAGCAGGGCCUUUGUAUGCGAAACUGCAGCUUGGUAAUGAUGGGAACUCUUACCAGGUCACAGACAAGCAUGUGCUCUGCUCACAGCCGUCUCUUUGAGACAACCUCCACUUGACAAUUUGACCUCAAAUCAGGUAGGACUACCCGCUGAACUUAAGCAUAUCAAUAAGCGGAGGAAAAGAAACUAACAAGGAUUCCCCUAGUAACUGCGAGUGAAGCGGGAAGAGCUCAAAUUUAAAAUCUGGCGGUCUCUGACUGUCCGAGU
rnacentral:sRNA from 1 species